rnacentral:lncRNA from 10 species
UAAACAGCAAGGGAUAACAGAAGUGUAGGAUUGAUUGUGAGCUUCUCCCCCCAAACUCAGAAAAACUGCCAGGUAAAUGAGGUCUCAUCUGCAUGUGCCCCACUUGCAUUGCUACUGAGGGACCCUGAAAAGCAGACAACCCUGGGUGUUACACCCUCCCCAGGGUAUGAAAGGACACACUAGGCAAAUGUGUUGAAGAACAUCCCGUUUCCAGGUGGAAACUGGAACUGAGCCAGCCUGUUCCAGCCAGUCUCUCCUUGUCUCAGGAUGUUGCAUUCUCAGCAUAUUUUACAGUUAUUCCAGGGAACAACAGUGAGAAGGGGAGAGAGCUGGGUUGGUUCAAGGCCACCUGGAGAACUGUCCUGCACCAUGUGUCGUAUAUUGUUUAUGGCUGCUUUGACACUACAACAGCAGUGUUGAGUAGUUGCAGUAGGGACUGUUUAACCCACAAAGCCUACAUUGCUUACAUCUGGACCUUUGCAGGAAAAGUUUGCUGACCUGUACUUUAAUAUAUAAAAACCCAUUCACAUUUGCACAUUCAUUUGGUGGUCACCACAGGCCUAUGGUAACAUCUCCGUUUUCAGAAGCUCAGAAAAGUAAGCUGCUUGCUCAAGAAUGGACGGCUUCAAGGUGGCAGAGCUGGAAGUUUCUAACUCACUCACCUCAUACUCAGACCUGCACUGUUUUUCAAGACAGUCAAUAUUUCAGGAGCUUUAUGAUUGGGCAUGAUCCUUUCUCCAUCCUUUCCAUUCAGUGCUCAAGUUCUCUGACACUUCCUCAUAGCUCACUUGUCAGGAAAGCCAAGAAUGUCUGUUGAUGUGACUCCUGCCCAGGUAGGAAGUGGUGGUUCUGAACUAGAGCUGAGGUCCCUUGAUAGGCUGCAUGGAAUGCCCUUUGUGGCCACUGGGGCCACUAACCAGGCCUUUCUCCCUCCCACAAAUCAGGGUUCCCAGACUUUCACUGGGAGGGCAGUCUGCUGGAGAAUUCUAUCUAGCUUGUGAGGCUGAUGUUUUUCUUCCAUUCAGGCCAUCUACUGAUUGGAUGAGGCCCACCAGCAUUCUGAAAGACAAGGAAUCUGAGACCUGGCUGGGAGAAGAGGACUUGCCUAAAGUUAUCCCACACAGCAAAUUAGUUGGAAAACCAGGAUAGUUGAGUAAAUAUCCUGGAGCCCAGCCAAGUAAUGAAGCCAGAAUUCAGAAAGCUGUUUUGGCUAGAUCUUGGAUUUUUACAAUAAAGGGUCUGUAAGGGAUAUUUGUGAAAAAUGUUGACACUUGACGGCUGUCCUGAUUCAUUCAGCUACCUAGGUUAUCUCUGCCUCUCUUUGACUUGUGUUUUGUCUUUUAAGAUGGCAGUCUUGCUCUUUUGCCUGGGCUGGUCUUGAACUCCUGGGCUCAAGCAGUUUUCCUGCUUUAGCCUCCUGAGUAGCUGGGGCUACAGGAGGACAUCACUGUGCCCAGCUCUCUCCGUAUCUUUGACUAGGUUAUUUUACAACCCCAUACGAUAGAAAUGAAGUUAUAGAAAACUGAUAGGAAUACAAAUAAUUAUUAUCCAUGGAAAUGCAAAUUGGAUCUAAUGGAAUGAAACUGAUUUUUUUUCCAGCAGAUAGUGACCACCUUUGUAUCCUUUUGUAAAUUCAUUUCAGCAUUCCAUAUUUGACUAAAAAUGUGUGACACUCCCAAUUUGCUUUUGAAUUCAUUGUAAUAUCUACCAAUUCCCUCAUUAAUUAAUGAGUUAAAUAAAGCCUUUGGCAUGUAUUUAUUUUGUAUCUAUAGGAGAGUCAUGAGUAUAUCUUCUUUUAAAAGGUAUUCUUCAGUAGGUCUUAGGGUGCACAAUACUUACAUCUUAUUUUCUCAUUCUACACUGUUCCCACACCUCACCCAGAAUAAAUGUAAUCUCCUGUGAGCUUCUGAACAUCAUGAAGAAUAACAGCUCAUUUUGUAAAGUCAUUUAGUAUUCG